AUACGUAGGGUGCGAGCGUUGUCCGGAAUUACUGGGCGUAAAGAGCUCGUAGGUGGUUUGUCGCGUCGUCUGUGAAAUUCCGGGGCUUAACUCCGGGCGUGCAGGCGAUACGGGCAUAACUUGAGUACUGUAGGGGAGACUGGAAUUCCUGGUGUAGCGGUGAAAUGCGCAGAUAUCAGGAGGAACACCGGGGGCGAAGGGGGGUCUCUGGGCAGUAACUGACGCUGAGGAGCGAAAGCAUGGGUAGCGAACAGGAUUAGAUACCCUGGUAGUCCAUGCCGUAAACGGUGGGCGCUAGGUGUAGGGGUCUUCCACGACUUCUGUGCCGUAGCUAACGCAUUAAGCGCCCCGCCUGGGGAGUACGGCCGCAAGGCUAAAACUCAAAGGAAUUGACGGGG
rnacentral:rRNA from 1 species